AAGUCGUAACAAGGUUUCCGUAGGUGAACCUGCGGAAGGAUCAUUAGCGAAGCUCGGAAUGCGUGUUCGGUCUGAUGCUGCCCGGCAACGGGAUGUGCUCGUCUGGAUGCGUGUCCCUUCUCUAUUCCACCCCUUUGUGAACCAAGUGUGCGAGCCGAAGAGAGAUCGGAGGCUCGCAUGCAACCCUUAACACAUACCCCAAUGAAGUAUCAGAAUGUACCUUGCGUUAACUCGCACAAAUACAACUUUCAACAACGGAUCUCUUGGCUCUC
rnacentral:misc_RNA from 1 species